ensembl:lncRNA
UUUUUACUCAUUUUCUUGAAAAAUUUUCUUGCCAAAUUUGGGGGAUAUUUUUUUUUUUUUUUUAAAUAAAACUUUUAAGGGAAACUUUCAAGGAAUUAUAGGAGUUUUCUUCCUGAAGGUUUUGCAAUUUUUCAGAAAUUUGGGGAAUUUUUUUGCUGAUUUUUUGGAUUUUUUUCAGACAAGAAAACAAUAUUUUUUUGCACCCGUAAAUGAGGACAACAGGAGGGUUAAGCAUGAUAUUGUAUUGAAGUGCAUUUAGGUCUGACAUUGUCCCAUAAUGCAGGAAAUCACUUUAGUUUAUGGCCAAAUCAAAAUGAAAUUAAUGUUACCGAUUGAAUAUUCUCUGUAAUAAAUACCAGUAGAACAAUCAAUGUUCUAUCAGCUGCAGUACCAGCAUGGAAACAGACUUGACAGCAAAUCAGGACCAAACAUAAAACCUAUUGAUAUGAUUUCUGCAUCACCAGCUGAAUACAUGUGGUGUUCCCAUGGCAACAUCAUGCAUACAGUAUGCGAUACUGUAACUGCACGGCUUCAUUCAGUGGUUUUAGUAACAUACAGAUGGAAAUCUCAGUGUCACACGUGAGCGCAAAGACGAACAAAAUUAACUUCACAAGUGAAGAGUUGUAUUCUAUAACAAAGAUCCAUUUUAGGGGGAAAGUAUGUUCUCAGGUUAAAUUCAGCAGUUGUUGUCCCAAACAUAAAGUCAUAAGUCAUUUACCCUUUUAAACUAGAAAUGGUUUUAUAUAAGCGAGUAUGACCAUUUCCCCAAAUGGCAAAUAUACAAACUGACACAAGAGGCGCAAGCUUUACACAGUAGUACGCUCCAUAAAAGAGAUUUAAAUCUAAACUCUGAACUGAACCUGGACCAGGUUAGCUCCACAGCAUCAGUUACCAUGGUGACCUAGCAGGUUAAAACAGCCACCUUCAUGAUACUGAAAGCUCUGACUUUUAGCUCAACAUACCUCACUAACCCACUAAGCAUGUUUGUUUUCUUCAACAUUCACAUCCAUGAAUUCAUCGUUCAAGAGAUUUAUUUAACCAAAUAACUAAAUCAAUACAUAAAUGGAGAACUGAACUGGGGGAGCAGAACUAAACCAAACUACUCAGAACUCUACAAACAAACUAUGAAUACAAAAACGGAAGUCUACAAAACUAAACAGAAUUGACAAACUAAGCUAAGGAGGGGUAUUCACAAGAUGGGGAACAGAGUCCAAAAGUGGGGAAGCAGAGUCUAGUGGGGAUAUAAGUCUGUGAUCCGGCAGAGAGUGAGUGAAGGAGCUGGGUUUAUAUAGUGGAGGUGUAAUUGCAGACAGGUGAGGUAAAUGGGCUGAUCAGUGCAGGUGAUUCACAUAACUGUAAUCAGGAGUGCAGGCAGGUGAGUGAGAGUGAGACAGGCAGAAAGACAGACCAACAGGUGCAGACAGAGGUACCAGACAAGGAGGGAGAGAGUGAGAAUAGGGAGAGAUGGAGGACAGACAGGAACAAGGAGGGAGAAGGACGGAGAAGAACAGGGACAGGAGCAGAGACUAUAACACACUAGGAGCUGUGCAUCUCUGCACAAGGAAACUACCUCACUGGGGAUGGCAGCCAAAUGUACAUCAGGUUAUUUUAAAAAUGUACAGUCUGAACUCUGGGGUCUCCGCUCCAAUAAAAGGCUCAGUCUAAGCUAACAAAAACACAAUUUGUAGCCCUUCAUUGAUAAUAAAGACAUAACUAUGGAAGCUGUAUUCCAUUACUGAUAAACAGCCCCCUAAAUCCUACACACUGGUUCUUUAAGCUGCAGUGAAUGCGUGUGUUUACAGCAAAUAACUUUCAUUUUGAUUCUCUGAGACAGACAAGAAAACCGGAUGUCUUGUCUCAUCAUAUUAGGCACAACCGUGUGUCAAUCUGUUCUUCUAAAACCGCUAUUAAAGCUACUGUUUGCCAACAUGCUCCAAGUAAAAUGUAUAACUUUACAGGGUUUUUUUGGCAGAUUUCUCAAAACUUUUAGACACAAGCAUCUGAAGUGAAACCAGACUGUUUCCAGUUACAAUGAGCAGACAAACCCAAUAAAACAUAUAAUACAGCAAUACUGACUAAAUAACUGUUGUGCCACUGUAAAAAAAAAAAAAACGAGCUUUAACUACCUAUUAGUGCCUUAUUGUUGUAUGUAACGCUGCUUUGUUAAGGACUGCACGUUACAGAUGGAGACAGUUGUUGGUUUUGUGCAAUAAAAGACAAACUGUACUGAUUCUGUCAAAAUAAACUGUCUGAUGCCAAAUCACUGGUUUGUCAUUGAUGAGCACACAUUUCUGAAUGUUUUGAAUGGUUUCAGCUUUUCUUUCUUCACUAGUCAUAAAGAGGACUAAGUAAACUGUUGGUUU